rnacentral:misc_RNA from 1 species
UCAAACUUGGUCAUUUAGAGGAAGUAAAAGUCGUAACAAGGUUUCCGUAGGUGAACCUGCGGAAGGAUCAUUAACGAGUUCUUGAGUCGGGGUUGCAGCUGGGUCCUUCGGGGCCAGAGUGCUCGCCUCGCUCAAAUCCACUCUCAAACACCUGUGCACCUUUUUGAGGGGCCUUCGGUGCGGAGCCCUCUUCCGAGGGGGCGACGUCCUCGGCCUCCCGAAAACCCUUUACACGAAACCCCUUUGUAUUUUGAUUGUAUGUAAAUUGAUGUAAAAUAAACACAACUUUCAACAACGGAUCUCUUGGCUCUCGCAUCGAUGAAGAACGCAGC